UUGAGCCGUGUGCCGGGAAACUCGCUUGCACGAUUCUUAACGGGGGAAAACUUGUAAAAGUCUACCUAUCGUAAU
rnacentral:ncRNA from 1 species